rnacentral:tRNA from 1 species
UGCAUCUUUAGCUCAGUUGGAUAGAGCAACAGCCUUCUAAGCUGACGGUCAGGGGUUCGAAUCCCUUAAGAUGUGA